rnacentral:misc_RNA from 1 species
UAAAGACAAGAUAUUGUGCAACGAUGAUACAGUGGAAAUUUGAAAUACCGCGUAUUUUCCUAAGGAAGGAAGAGAAAAUACGCCGUGGAAGUUUCCAGAAAAAUUGGCGCGUGGACUAUUGCUAGAUUCUCCAUGCGUUUGGUAAAUAUUUGGAAUCGGGGACAUCUCGCUGAUCACACAGUACGUGUUCUAUUAUAUACGUAAUAUAAUGUAAGAUCUGUUUAUAAAGUAAUGUACAAAUUCUUUGGAAUUUAGCAAAUAUCCGGACGACAGAAGUUCUACUGUAAAGAAAGACAUAAUUUAAGAGUUCGAAAAAUUC